GUAGGGGGCGAGCGUUGUCCGGAUUUAUUGGGCGUAAAGAGCUCGUAGGCGGUUGCGUAAGUCGGAUGUGAAAACUCAGGGCUCAACCCUGAGAUGCCAUUCGAUACUGCGCUGACUAGAGUCCGGUAGAGGAGCAUGGAAUUCCUGGUGUAGCGGUGAAAUGCGCAGAUAUCAGGAGGAACACCAGUAGCGAAGGCGGUGCUCUGGGCCGGUACUGACGCUGAGGAGCGAAAGCAUGGGUAGCAAACAGGAUUAGAUACCCUGGUAGUCCCAUGCCCGUAAACGUUGGGCACUAGGUGUGGGACCUACUUAACGGGUUCCGUGCCGUAGCUAACGCAUUAAGUGCCCCCGCCUGGGAGUACGGCCGCAAGGCUA
rnacentral:rRNA from 1 species